UGGGACAGGCAUGAUGGCUUUCUGUA
rnacentral:piRNA from 2 species